AGACACGCGAGGUAGACCUUUAAUUCCAACGGAGUGAACUAUCAGCAACUACAAAAGAGAACCAUUUGUGCAUCUUUAAGCAUCGAUGCUUUAAAAAAGGGAUGGAUAACUGGGAUGCCUGAAUGAUGAUCACAGAAAUCCUAAAUGAAGGCAGUAGUUCUUAAAGAAGCCCACACCUGUGUCCGUUUACUACAGGGAUAACUUUCCAGAUGAAGAAAUUACCCACUUCUAUGGUGAUUCUUCUUGGCCAUGGCAUUCAAGGGAAUUAUGUGAAGAGUCAUCAAUGGCAAUGAUCGAAUGUGGUUCGUAACACUUUCACAUCAGGAAUUGCAUGAAUAGUCAUUGGUGACUGAGAUCGAAUGCAGUGCGAAACCUUAUCAGGGAAAGGGACAGAAUUGCAUGAAGAAUCAUUGGUGACUGAGAUUGAAUGCAGUGCGAAAACGUCCAUGUCAGGGAAAGAGACAGAAUUAUGUGAAGAGUCAUCAAUGGCAAUGAUUGAAUGUGGUUCGAAACACUUCCACAUCAGACAAGGAGAAGUUUCAGCAUGAAGUACACAGUGCUGUUUUUUCCAGUUUGGAUUUGUGCGAUGAUUGAUUGUAGUGGUCCCAUGUCAAGUAGAAAGUGGCCGACUUCAACUUGAAAAUACACCAACUCAAGGACAGUUAUUAUAAAAACAUGGAGCAGACUGAAGUGAAUGCAGGCAUAAAACAUUUUAAAGGGACACCUCACCACAAAAGCACAGUGUGAUCAAUGCAAGAAAGCAGAAGACCAUGUUCUUAAAGAAAGAAGAAAAAUUAAGUGACUUUGUGAGGAACAGAGGUUUGCAGAUAAAUAAAAGAAAUGUUGGAGUGCAUUUCAACAAAGAAAAGCAAAAACUGCUUUUAAACGGUUAGUUCAUCCAAAAAAUAAAAUUAGGCCAUGGUUUAUUCACCCUUAUGCAAUCCUAGCUGUAUAUGACAUUCUUCGUUCAGACGAACACAUUAGGAGUUAUUUAAAAUUUUCUCUGAGCACUUAAAUACUAUUAUGGAUGUGAAGUGUGGGCCUUGUUGGAACCGUUCCAAUACAUGUCAUGUCUUUUAAAGCGGAUCGAUAGGUUUGUAACAAAUAUUUAUUUUUUAUGAAUUAUGAACUCCAGUUGCUACUUGCGUGUUGGCGACAGAGUCACGUGAACCUAAACAAAUCAAAGAACAAAUUAAAGAUGUCCCAAACUCAGCCAACUUGACUUUUCGCAAACAAGCAUACAGACAUUAGCUGUGUUUCCAUCCAAAAAUGCGGAUGAACUUUAUGCGCAAAACUGGAUUAACGCGUUAAAGACGUGCAAAUAAAGCAGCGUUCCCAUCCAAGGAGUCAAAGCAAACAAAAUCGUCACUUCCUGAUUAACUGGCGCCAAAUAUCAACAGUAAAAACUGAAUUUGCUGUGGUAAGAGAAGCUGCGUCAAUCUUUUCUUCAUCUAAUAAAUGACACGGAGCACGGACGCUCUUAUUUUUUGAGGUCAUUAAUAAUAUAAUAACACUAAUACUUAAACGGUUAGGGGUUUUAGAAUGACCAAAACAACAGUUCAGAUGGUUUACAGUGUGCUGCUGGUUUCUCCAUUUACACACAUUUUCAUCAUCACAUGAUCUCUUAUAACAAAAUCACAUGACCUUUUUUAAUGCGCACACUGGAAUUUGUGCGGUAAAAGUGUUUCCAUCGUAGUUUAUGCGCAUCUUUUCUUAUCGAAUAAAAAGUUUAUCCUACUCAGUUAUGCGCAUACGUUUUUUAUUCGCAUUUUCAAAAUGAAUGCGCAAUAUGGCGUUUCCAUCCACUGUUUAUUAUGCACAUAUGCAAAAUGCACAUAAAAAUAGGUGCAUGGAAACAAAGCUAAUGACAGAUUCAAAAUUCCAUUGAUCUGCUUCAAAAGACACAUUAAACUCCCGGAUGCGUAUGGGUUCGUUUCACGACAGAUAUUUGUGCUUUUUCAAGGUUUAAAAAGGGGUCACAAUUCACUACCAAUAUAACGUUUGAAAGUGCCCAGAAAAAUUCUAAAUAACUCUUAAUGUAUUCAUCUGAAAGAAGAAUGUCAUGUACACUGAGGAUGGCAUUAAGUUGAGUAAAUCAAUUUUCAUUUUUGGUUGAACUAACCCUUUAAGGGGCAGAACCCUUAAAAUGUUGUCAUUGAGUUGUUUUUUUAAAAAGCCUUGUUGAAUAAAUGCAUUUGAGACAGUGAUUUGAUGUUACUGAUCUAUAUAUCUAUCUACCUAUCUCUCUCUGUCUGUCUGUCUAUUAGCUAGUCCAGUUAAACACUGAUUGUCCUCACAAUCCUGCGUUAGUAAUGUGUGUGGGUGUGUAUGAGUAAAGUCCAGUUAAACACCAGUUGUCCUCACAAUCCAGUGUUAGUAAUGUGUGUGGGUGUGUAUGAGUAA